UACGGAGGGUGCAAGCGUUGUCCGGAAUUAUUGGGCGUAAAGCGCACGUAGGCGGUUCUUUAAGUCUCAUGGUGAAAGGCUGGGGCUCAACCCCAAGCAAGCCGGGGAUACUGGAGGACUGGAGACAGGCAGAGGCCAGCGGAAUUCCCGGUGUAGCAGUGAAAUGCGUAGAGAUCGGGAGGAACACCAGUGGCGAAGGCGGCCUUCUGGACCAAUACUGACGCUCAUGCACGAAAGCGUGGGGAGCAAACAGG
rnacentral:rRNA from 1 species